GGGAGUAUGGUUGCAAAGCUGAAACUUAAAGGAAUUGACAGAAGGGCACCACCAGGAGUGGAGCCUGUGGCUUAAUUUGACUCAACAUGGGAAACCUCACCUGGCCUGGAUAUGGAAAGGAUUGACAGAUUGAUAGCUCUUUCUCGAUUCUGUGGGUGGUAUUGCAUGACCAUUCUUAGUUGGUGGAGUGAUUUGUCUGGUUAAUUCUGAUAACGAACAAGACUCUGGCAUGCUAACUAGUUACAUGACCCCCUAGUGGUCGGUGUCCAACUUCUUAGAGGGACAAGUGGCGUUCAGCCACCUGAUAUUGAGCAAUAACAGGUCUGUAAUACCCUUAAAUGUCUGGGGCUGCACGUGCGCUACACUGACUGGCUUAGCAUGUGUCUACCCUAUGCCGACAGCUGCAGGUAACCUGUUGAACCCCGUUCGUGAUGGGGAUUAGGGAUUGCAAUUAUUCCCCAUGAAUGAGGAAUUCCCAGUAAGUGCGGGUCAUAAGCUCACGUUGAUUAAGUCCCUGCCUUUUGUACACACUGCCCGUUGCUACUACUGAUUGGAUGGUUUAGUGAGGUCCUUGGAUCAACCCUGCUGGGGUUGGUCAUGGCCCUGGUGGAGCGCCGAGAAGACGGUCGAACUUGACUAUCUAGAGGAAGUAAAAGUCGUAACAAGGUUUCUGUAGGUGAACCUGCAGAAG
rnacentral:ncRNA from 1 species